UGGGGAAUAUUGGACAAUGGAGGAAACUCUGAUCCAGCAAUUCUGUGUGUGUGAAGAAGGUUUUAGGACUGUAAAACACUUUUAGUAGGGAAGAAAAAAAUGACGGUACCUACAGAAGAAGCAACGGCUAAAUACGUGCCAGCAGCCGCGGUAAUACGUAUGUUGCGAGCGUUAUCCGGAAUUAUUGGGCUUAAAGGGCAUCUAGGCGGUAAGAUAAGUUGAAGGUGAAAACCUGUGGCUCAACCAUAGGCUUGCCUACAAAACUGUUGAACUAGAGUCCUGGAAAGGUGGGUGGAACUACACGAGUAGCGGUGAAAUUCAUAAAUAUGUUUAGAAAUGCCGAUGAUGAAGAUAACUCCCUGGACAGAAACUGACGCUGAAGUGCGAAAGCUAGGGGAGCAAACAGG
rnacentral:rRNA from 1 species